UAAAAAUUAGUAUAAAUAAAUAACAAAUGGAUGACUAGGAUGUUAUAAUGAGGACGUUAUUAAACACGAAAAGUCGGUGAAGAAAAAAUGAAGCCGAAGUUCCAUAAGAAAACGCUAUUAUAAAUUUAAAUCUCAGGAACUGAAACAUCUCAGUACUAGAGAGGAAAGAAAUCAAGCGAGAUUCCGUUAGUAGUGGCGAGCGAAAGCGGAGUAGAUCUAAUCCAAAGAAUUUUCCCUUUGGGGUAAAUCAUUUUUCAUAAUAAUCAAAAUCCACAGAGGUUAACAGCCCCGUAGAUUGUUAUAAUUUACAAGGAUUAUGGUGCAUAGUUAUAGGGGAAUAUUAUUUAUUCUGUAACUUGCAUUUAAAGAGUAGAAUUAUUUGAAGACAGGUGAUCCAUACAUCUAAAACUAAAUCUUAUAACAUACCUAUAGUGUACGAGUACUGUGAAGGAAAGUUGAAAGAGAAUAAAGCAAGCAUCCAUAAAUUGGAUUCUUAAAAUGAAAUAGAUUCUGAAAUUUGUUAUAUACAAGCAGACGAAAUUCGUCGUACCUUUUGCAUAAUGGGUUCGUGAGAAAAAUAUUUGGCAAACUUAAGUUUAUAGACGCAGGUGUAGUGAAAAUGAGUUUUAAAUUAAGAGCUUUAGUCAAAUAGAACCCGAAACCUAGUGAGCUAACCAUGGGCAGUUUGAAGCAUCCCUAAUAGGAAGUGGAGGAACGAACUGGUGAUUGUGGCAAAAAUCUCAGAUGAUCUGUGGUUAGAGGUAAAAUGCCAAUCGAACUAGGAAAUAGCUGGUUUUCUGCGAAAGCUAUUUAAGUAGUGCGUCAUUGAGGGAAUUUAAAUAAAUUCGUAAUAUAAACCUUUGGUUUGUAUUUAUUCUUACACAGUAAAGCACUGAAUGGAGACAUCUAUAGGGUGUAUUCAACCAAACUAUGAAAGUGUAAGAAGAAAGAUGAUAGACAGACAGUGGGCGAGAAGGUCCAUUGUCAAAAAGGAAACAACCUAGAUCAGAAGUUAAGGCCAUAAAAAAUUAACUAAGUGUAAAAGGAGCUGAUAGAUAGAGACAACAAGAAAGUGGGCUUGGAGCCAGCCAUCUUUGAAAGAUUACGUAACAGUUCACUUGAUAAAUUUAUCGGUUUCUAAAAUUUUGGUGGCUUAAGUUUAAAGCCGAGACUCUGGAUAUAAAAGAAUGUAAUAUAAUGGUAGCAGAACGUUCUGUAAUACAAUUGAUUGAUUAAAUUACGAAAGUUUAUCAGAAGUGAUAAUGCGAGCAUGAGUAAAAAACAGUGUGAGAAUCACUGUUCAUAGCCCUAGGUUUCCAAUAGUUGAGAUUAUCAAGAUUGGGUUAUACAGCCCCUAAGAGUGAGAAUUAAAAAGUUAAUUAUGCACAAUGGGGAAAGAUUAAUAAGUGAAAAAAUUAAUUUAAUAAGCUGUACUUAAACUAACACAAGUGGGCUUAAAGUGAUGGUAGAAUUUAUCUUAAGGAACUCGGCAAAAUGACCCUGUAAGAUUGCGAGAAGGGGUGCCAAUUUUUGAGGUGUUAUUCCCAUACGGGCUUAAAAAUUGGCUUCAGAAAAGAGGGGGUGUCGACUGUUUACCAAAAACAUAGCUUCCACCAAAAGCCUGUAAGGCUGAAGCAUUGGAGGUGAGGCCUGCCCAGUGGUUGUAUCUAAACCCAUGUGAUUAUGACCCGACCUUUGGUCGAAGAAGUAACAUGAUUAAGGACAAUUAAAUGGCCGCGGUAAAUCUGACCGUGAUAAUGUAGCGCAAUCAAUAGCCAAUUAAUUGUUGGCAAGUAUGAAUGGCGUAACGAAUGCCCCACUGUCUCAAGAUAAAAACCAAUGAAAUUGAAAUCGUAGUGAAGAUGCUACGUACAAAUUGUAAGACGAGAAGACCCCAUUGAGCUUUACUGGAAGCUUAUAUUGUUUUUUUCCAAUUAAUGUGUAGAUUAUGUGGGUACGUUAUGAAAAACCACUCAUUAAUUAUAAAAAAAACUUACUUAACCCGUGAAUUCAACUGAAUUCAUGUAUUGGACAAGUAUAAGCCGGACAGUUUGGUUGGGGCGACCGCCUUCUAAAAAGUAACGAAGGUGUACAUAAGGUAAAUAAUAUAAUAGAGUAAAAAGCCUGACAGCAAGGGGGACCCCCGAGCUGACACGGAGGUAAUUAUUUAGAUUUGAACAAUGUACGAAUUUAAAUAAGUUCGUAAUAUAAUUACCCGUCUGUGGGUUAUAAUGACCCGUUAGUUAAGAGUGGGUUUGCUAACGAGCAACGAAUAAAAGUUACCAUGGGGAUAACAGCGUAAUAUCGUUCGAGAGUUCAUAUCGACGACGAUGUUUGCGACCUCGAUGUUGAAUUGCGGUAUCCUAGAGGUGCAGCCGCUUCUAAGGGUUGGACUGUUCGUCCAUUAAAACCGUACAUGAUUUGAGUUCAGACCGGCGUGAGCCAGGUCGGUUUCUAUCUACAAUUUGUUUAGGAAACAUUAGAUAUAACUACACUCUAGUACGAAAGGACCGAGUGAUAGGUAUCCGCUGGUGUACCAAUUACCUAAUAAUACGAAUUUAAAUCUAUUCGUACAUGAAAAGGUUGUUGGGUAGCUACGAUACAAUUAAGGCUUAUGAAAAUUAAGUUUAAAGGUAAAGACCUUAAAAUCUAAUCCCUGAAUGCAUCUCAAGGGAGAAGUAAAAUAUCAUUCUAUGUUUCUAUUAAGACUGUUUGAGAAUAAGACAUUGAUAGGAUCUAUGUGUAUCAUGGAAGCUUAAGAUUACUAAGCUUGUUCAAAAUACUAAUUUUUCGA
rnacentral:rRNA from 1 species